AUACGGAGGAUGCGAGCGUUAUCCGGAUUUAUUGGGUUUAAAGGGUGCGUAGGCGGCAGAUCAAGUCAGCGGUGAAAGUUCAAGGCUCAACCUUGAAAUUGCCGUUGAAACUGGUCAGCUAGAGUGUAUUGGAGGUAAGCGGAAUUCGUGGUGUAGCGGUGAAAUGCAUAGAUAUCACGAAGAACCCCGAUUGCGAAAGCAGCUUACUACACUACAACUGACGCUGAAGCACGAAAGCGUGGGGAUCAAACAGGAUUAGAUACCCUGGUAGUCCACGCAGUAAACGAUGAUUACUAGCUGUUUGCGAUACACAGUAAGCGGCACAGCGAAAGCGUUAAGUAAUCCACCUGGGGAGUACGCCGGCAACGGUGAA
rnacentral:rRNA from 1 species